UAUACUUCGCGUGUUUUAGUAGGCUGGAUAUGCGUUUUAUAUUUACAAAGUGUAAAAAGUGUCAUUUUAUGUGUAAUCUAAGUUUAUAUUAACUUUAUAUGAUAAGGGCUGGCUAUAUCAGUAUUUUUGAUAAUGGUUGAGCGGUAGUUGUGCUGUUAGAGCUAAAGUAUAUGGGGCUAGGUACGUUUAGUAAAGAAGUUCGUUUGUCAAAUAAGUAUCACCUCUCGCUCAUGAAUGAAGGAUAAUUAAAUAGCUACAGUUUAAAUUACAGUACCAAUCAAAUUCAUCGAAAGUACUGCAGAGCACAUUGUCGAUGGGAACAACCAAUAUCUAAUCCUUUUUGCUCCAAAGUUCAAUAUACUUUGGAACCAACUCAGCAGUGUGACUGAUCAAAAGGAACUUUCAUAGUGAUAAGGGCGGAUGGAUAGUAACAGCCUUUAAAGCAAAUGUUGCAUUCAAAUUCGAUGAUGAGGAACCCACUUUGAGACUGAUAAUGCU